rnacentral:lncRNA from 1 species
UCUCUAAUGACCUAUCAGAUCAGAAGACUGGUAAACCUGGAGCCUCAUCCCAAGAGGUGAUGGUGUCUGGGUUUAUUAUGGAUCGCAGGAUGUAACUAUCAAUCUGGAGGGGGAAGAAGAAAGAAUAUUUUGAACCACACCAGGAGAAUUACCCUAGAGAAUAUAAGUUCACCUGCCAAAAUGGGAGGCUGGCAUCUUUUUGCUCUAUGAGAAGGCUGCUGAGCUAACAGGUCUGCCUUGGCAUAAAUGUCUAGAAGAGCAUGUGUCUCCUGGAGUAUGGGGACAUUUGUGUUUCCAUAAAUUGGCAGCUGCUUCUGGUUAGAGACUUCUAAAAGGUCUGGAAUACUGGAAUACUGGUAUAGUCCAAAAGGGGAAGAUGAAAAGGAGCCGUGGAACAUUGUACCAGGAAGAAGAUGGGACAUUACUCUCCGCAUGCCCUGGAGCUUUCGGAAGACGUAUAAGAGGAUCUUAGUUUCCAUAGCUCCACAUGAAAGAGCAAGCAGGGCUGCUGAUGUCCACUGUGGGCUCCAAGUGAGGGACUGGCCCAUGGGCAGGAGGUGAGGGAGACUUACUUGCUUUUCUCUGAGCUGGUCCACAGGAGCAGAGGAGACUGGGGUGAGCCUCACUCCAGAAUACUUGUAGAGUAUGUGACACCGGUUACCAACCUUGGCUCCACAAAAAUUACCUGUGAACCUUCUAAAAUACACAUAAGAAAUUCUUACUGAAUUGAACUGGGACGAGAUUCCACGUAUCAGGAUUCUGUAAAAGCUCCCCCAGUGACUCAAGAUGAAGUCCGGGUUGAAGACCAGUGAUAUGCAGGAAAUGUGUCCUGUGAUUUGAAACCACAUUCCAUUUGUCAAGCAAGACACUACGGCCACAUAAUGGAGAUCUACUUCCAUAUGAACCAGUGGAUUUCACUCUGCUUAAUGGCAACUACCACAUUUAAGUGGACAAGUUCAUCAUUAAUAUUUAACUCAUGAGGCCUCUCUUGGAUCAGCUUUUC